rnacentral:rRNA from 1 species
GACGAACGCUGGCGGCGUGCUUAACACAUGCAAGUCGAACGGAAAGGCCCUGCUUUUGUGGGGUGCUCGAGUGGCGAACGGGUGAGUAACACGUGAGUAACCUGCCCUUGACUUUGGGAUAACUUCAGGAAACUGGGGCUAAUACCGGAUAGGAGCUCCUGCUGCAUGGUGGGGGUUGGAAAGUUUCGGCGGUUGGGGAUGGACUCGCGGCUUAUCAGCUUGUUGGUGGGGUAGUGGCUUACCAAGGCUUUGACGGGUAGCCGGCCUGAGAGGGUGACCGGGCAAAAUGGGAAUUAGGAAACGGCCAAGAUUCUAAGGGAAGCAAGAGGGGGGAAAAAUUGAACAUGGGGGGAAGGCUUGAGGAAGAACGGCGGGGGGGGGAAGAAGGGCUUUGGGGUGGUAACCGGCUUCGGCUGGGAACGAGGGGGGGUGAAGGGAAAGGGGUAAGAAGCACCGGCUAACUACGUG